rnacentral:rRNA from 1 species
ACGAACGCUGGCGGCACGCUUAACACAUGCAAGUCGAACGAGAGAAGAGAAGCUUGCUUUUCUGAUCUAGUGGCGGACGGGUGAGUAACACGUGAGCAAUCUGCCUUUCAGAGGGGGAUACCGAUUGGAAACGAUCGUUAAUACCGCAUAAUAUAAUUGAACCGCAUGAUUUGAUUAUCAAAGAUUUAUCGCUGAAAGAUGAGCUCGCGUCUGAUUAGCUAGUUGGUAAGGUAACGGCUUACCAAGGCGACGAUCAGUAGCCGGACUGAGAGGUUGAUCGGCCACAUUGGGACUGAGACACGGCCCAGACUCCUACGGGAGGCAGCAGUGGGGAAUAUUGCACAAUGGAGGAAACUCUGAUGCAGCGAUGCCGCGUGAGGGAAGAAGGUUUUAGGAUUGUAAACCUCUGUCUUCAGGGACGAAAAAAGACGGUACCUGAGGAGGAAGCUCCGGCUAACUACGUGCCAGCAGCCGCGGUAAUACGUAGGGAGCGAGCGUUGUCCGGAAUUACUGGGUGUAAAGGGAGCGUAGGCGGGAUCGCAAGUCAGAUGUGAAAACUAUGGGCUUAACCCAUAAACUGCAUUUGAAACUGUGGUUCUUGAGUGAAGUAGAGGUAAGCGGAAUUCCUAGUGUAGCGGUGAAAUGCGUAGAUAUUAGGAGGAACAUCAGUGGCGAAGGCGGCUUACUGGGCUUUAACUGACGCUGAGGCUCGAAAGCGUGAGGAGCAAACAGGAUUAGAUACCCUGGUAGUCCACGCCGUAAACGAUGAUUACUAGGUGUGGGGGGACUGACCCCUUCCGUGCCGCAGCAAACGCAAUAAGUAAUCCACCUGGGGAGAACGACCGCAAGGUUGAAACUCAAAGGAAUUGACGGGGGCCCGCACAAGCAGUGGAGUAUGUGGAUUAAUUCGAAGCAACGCGAAGAACCUUACCAGGUCUUGACAUCGUAUGCAUAGCUCAGAGAUGAGUGAAAUCUCUUCGGAGACAUAUAGACAGGUGGUGCAUGGUUGUCGUCAGCUCGUGUCGUGAGAUGUUGGGUUAAGUCCCGCAACGAGCGCAACCCUUACUGUUAGUUGCUACGCAAGAGCACUCUAGCAGGACUGCCGUUGACAAAACGGAGGAAGGUGGGGAUGACGUCAAAUCAUCAUGCCCCUUAUGACCUGGGCCUCACACGUACUACAAUGGCUGUAAACAGAGGGAUGCAAAGCCGCGAGGUGGAGCGAACCCCUAAAAGCAGUCUUAGUUCGGAUUGUAGGCUGCAACCCGCCUACAUGAAGUCGGAAUUGCUAGUAAUCGCAGAUCAGCAUGCUGCGGUGAAUACGUUCCCGGGCCUUGUACACACCGCCCGUCACGCCAUGGGAGUCGGUAACACCCGAAGCCUGUAGUCUAACCGCAAGGAGGACGCAGUCGAAGGUGGGAUUGAUGACUGGGGUG